CGUCCGGCUCUCCAUAUUCUUAGUCGGCGUGACAUUUAUAAGGAGGAGUUUACUAUCCCCAGACUCGGGGUGCGGCAGUGUGGAGACCUGUCGUAAUGCGGGAGGCCCUUGGCCCUCGUGAGGCUGCUUUUAACGGAGGUUGAGCAGUCGGAGUCGUUGUAUGGCA
rnacentral:ncRNA from 1 species